CUGAAAACACUAGACACUGAUGUCCCAUUAUCUACAGAACAGGAACAGCAUGGGCAGUCGAAGCACAAGUCUGUUCUAACAUGCCUAAAAUAUUGCUCUGGAGAGACUGCCUCUGGAAAUAAGAGGGAAAUUCAAUCCUCUGGUUACAUUCUGCUCCUAGUUAUA
rnacentral:sRNA from 1 species